rnacentral:rRNA from 1 species
UACGAAGGGGGCUAGCGUUGUUUGGAAUUACUGGGCGUAAAGCGCACGUAGGCGGACUGAUAAGUCAGGGGUGAAAUCCCGGGGCUCAACCCCGGAACUGCCUUUGAUACUGUCAGUCUAGAGUUCGAGAGAGGUGAGUGGAACUGCGAGUGUAGAGGUGAAAUUCGUAGAUAUUCGCAAGAACACCAGUGGCGAAGGCGGCUCACUGGCCCGAUACUGACGCUGAGGUGCGAAAGCGUGGGGAGCAAACAGG